UCAGCCUAGUGUUUUUUAAGUUGUCUUUCACAAUUAUUUUGCUGAAGAAUGGAGUUUAAUAAUAGCUACUCAAUGGCUACGAUGAAGCAGUGCAAGAGUACUUUUCACUUUAAAGCACAAAUUCAUAGCCUAAAAAUGAUAGUAUGAUAUGGCAACAAGCUAUUCUACUACUUGUAAAUUAAAAACUGACUCUUAUUUUAGACCUAAAUGUGAACUUGAUGUAGAGUAUAUUUGUAACUUAUACUUUGGUCAUGCCGGGAUUAGGUUUGCCUAAGCUUAAUUUAUUAAUAUUCUUAAUGCUGAUUUAGAGCACUGGAAUUAUUAGUCAUGUAUAUUUUCAAUAGUCGUUGGCGACUAUGUAUUAGUCUAUUAGCUAUAUAUCAAUUCAUGAACAGCAACAUAGGUAUCCAUCUUAUACUUGCAUUUUAUCACUCCACUGGGUUCAUCCUCUUCCAGUCAUAAAUUAUUAUAAGGACCAGUGUAUCAUGAUUUUAUUAAUUCAAUAUUUAAUAAGAAUUCGUGGAGACGUACCAUGGGUGAUAAGACUUAUGGUUCUAGGACCAGCAGUUCUGGGGAUUGACUCAGCUCUCUCAAAACCACUAAUGGUGGUUGCAAUGGCCCUAUGGGGGUCAAUAAAGGUAAAAGUCAAAUUCAUUUGGGUUAUUCGCUCAAUUCCAAUCGAAUGCAACUGGAUCUAGCAGAGUCUGAAUUGGCGAUCAGAACAUAUAUGGGUAGAACUUAUAAUGGGAUCUCGAAAAAUGACUAAUUUUUGCUGGGCCUGUUUCCUUUUUUUUUGGUUCACUAGGAUUCUUAGUGGUUACAAUUGAAAGACUUUGAACUGUGGCAAUCUUGGAUUGAUUGAACACUUGAGCUCUUCGCAACUAUGGAGCAUUCAUAGGAUUAUGGACUAGGUGUUGUAUCUUGACCUGCAUUGGGGUUUAGAGCAUACUAGAUCGACUUGCGCGGUUGCCAUUUAACUGCAGACAGCUAGAGAUCAGAUCAAUUUACAUGGUCGAUUUCUUUUUCCUGCAACCAUCUAUUUCAAACCUGCAUAAAUAGCUAGGCUUUAUAUGGUGGGCUCGUUUAACUAUAUGCAUCGUCUUUUACGUUGGGACUUUGGUAAAUUUCACCACUUUGUACUAUAUCUUGCGCACGAAGCCUUUUAAGAAGAUAAAUUUUGGAAAAAAAUCAAGUAAGAAGGUUAAUAAGGUUUCACUUUAGAAGCUUAUACUAUCAUGAACCAUUUGUCGCUCUUGUCUACAUGUAUAGCUGCUUGGCAGCAUGUUUUGGCUUGGUUUUAAGUCCUUUUGCUUGUAAAAAUGUAAGUUCGAACAAGUUGCAGCGUUACAGUGCGAUCGCUCACCGAACCGAGCAAAACAGCCCCAAAACAGCCCAAAACAGCUCCGUUUUCGCGUGCCACGGGCUGUUUUCUGCAGCCUGCUAUCGUACGUGAAACGUUAGCCAUCUCAGCACCCUGGAACCACUCGGGUGGCACCAUGGGGGAUGGAGUUUCGGUAUAGUGUCGGGCGUUGAACACUCUUUCGCAAGUUCGCACGUUACCUUAACGGGAACUUGUUGUCGCGCCCGGCACCCGGUGAGUAGCUGUUUGUGGACUUGCAGCUGUUCGUUCAACCCUCUAAAGUCCUUGUUUUCCUCCUCUCCCUCUUUUCUCUUGUGCACGCAAGGUGCUCAUUGAAUUGCUUGUAAAGCUUUCCCUUUUUGCGAGACGUCGAGACUUGUCCGUCGCUCGUUCUUCGAACUAAUCAACUUUCUCUUUUACAGGUCCUUCGAGACCUACGAGAGGUUGCAAGUGGGCUGAUCUUUGCGGACGCAAAUCGCAAGGGCGAAGCGCGACUUAGGCAACGCAAACUAAGUUCGCGUCUUUGCCGCAAGAGUGCCUCGCGACUUAGGCAACGCAAGCUAAGUUCGCGUCUUUGCCGUAAGGGUGCCUCACGACUUAGGCAAUUCCAGCUAAGUCCGUGACAUAUAAUUGCUUAUUCUUUUAGCAUUGCAAACUUAAAGUGUUCUCCUUACAAAAAUUAUGAUUCUCUUGAUAGUUUUUUAUACUUUUGUAUGGAUAACAGACUAGUAACCUAUAAAGAAUAGAAGUAUUGUAACAUAUGGAAAUCACUUUAUUAUUUUUAUUUGAGAUUUUAGUAAAUUUUGGAGGCAAGUGUACUACUUUUGAACUGAUUAUUGUUGUCUGUCUUUUGAUCAUUAAAUUGCCAACAUAGUUUGCAAAUAUCACGGAAUGGUACUUCAAGUUUACGUCAUACGAUCACAAAAUUCAGAUUUGCAUCAGAGGAGAGCUUUACGUCAUACGAUCACAAAAUUCAGAUUUGCAUCAGAGGAGAGCAUCACAGUAAAGCAUCUUCAUCAGUCAGUUUUGGAAUUGUUCCUUGUGAACUUUUGUUGCAUCUGGCAACAUGUUGUCAUUUAAGCAGCAUAUGUGGUGCUAAAAAUUCUUCGUUCACAUAGAUCUUAAAUUCAUCAUUCACAUAUAUCUUAAGCACUAGGAAUGUUGGUUUGAAAUUUGAUACUUUUGUACUUCAUGGCUGCACACCUCUGUUCGUACCUAGUUAUAUAGGAUAAUAGGAAUAAAUUUUUGACCUAGAGGAAAGGAUAUGAUCACUUGUAAUAUGUUUAUUUUUUGUUUUGGCUUAAGAUCAUGAAACAAUAUAAACUUUGGUUUCUUUUACAUCUAUUGUAGUAUUAUUUAAGCUUGUACGUAAUUUGACAGUAUUAAGACCUUUCAUGUGUGAAUCUGCUAUUUUUCCAUUGUGAUUUCCAAUGUAGUCACCAACAACAAGUUGCAAUGUCUCACCCUUUUGGUGUUCACUAGAUGGAUAUAUAUAUUUUUCGCUAUUGAGCUUUGAGUAAGGCAACAUCUGUAGUUAAGCUAGGGCAUUUGAAACUCUUGUUGUUGUUUCCCUUCUCAUAUCAUUAAUCUCAAUCAACUCACCUCCUUUACUUACAACAUCCAUAAGUUCAAAUAUCUCCCUUGUUCUUAUAAAUUGGUAUCUAAAGCCCAUCCUUUCUUUCUUCAUUAGGUUUUUUUUAAUUUCCAAAUUUUAUAAAAUAAGCUUACUUUUACUUUGUAUUUGUUGCGUUUGAACUCAUAAUUGUGUUGUUUAAAUAUUUUCAAUUUUAGAAAAGGUGCAAAUUCAACAGUUGCUUCCAAAAAUCUGCUACAAGAGAAGUUAAAGAGUCAGGGAAAAGGUUAAGACAAGUGCUAUGAGCAUAUCAGGAAAGCUGUUGAGGCAAGGUUCAACAAGUUGUUGACUGAGAUGUAUUUGAAGAUCUAAAAUCUGCCCUAGAGGAAGCUAAAAUGAUAUGGAAUUUUCCAGCUAAUGGUUAAUUGGUAUACUGAAAGAUUUCUUCAAAUGCUUAGAUUGCUUAGUGACAGAGCAAAUACAUUGACAAAUCUGGAGAUCUUGAAGUUAACUGGUUGAGAUCUUGAAGUUAACUGGUUGGGUUGUUGAGUAUCAAGAGAAUUUGGUUGGCCUUGGUGUUGAUGAAUCUCUUGCCCAAGUUUGUUCUGAAAGUGGUGCAAUGGAUCCCCUUAUGAAUAUGCAUAUAUUGGAAGGACACAAGCAACAACUGAAGCAUCCUUUUAUUGUAUUCUCAUUGAAUAAAUAAUAUACUGAGGAAUGAUUAAGUUUGAUAAUGAAUUUUCUUCUGUAGAAAUGGUACACAAAUAUUCUUGAGGCAGAUAAGGUACAAUCACCAAAGAAAACAGAAGAUGGUAGAUUGUAUACACCAGCAGCAGUCGAUUUAUUCAGGAUCUUGG